CCUACGGGGGGCAGCAGUGGGGAAUAUUGGACAAUGGGGGGAACCCUGAUCCAGCGACGCCGCGUGAGUGAAGAAGUAUUUCGGUAUGUAAAGCUCUAUCAGCAGGGAAGAAAGAAAUGACGGUACCUGACUAAGAAGCCCCGGCUAACUACGUGCCAGCAGCCGCGGUAAUACGUAGGGGGCAAGCGUUAUCCGGAUUUACUGGGUGUAAAGGGAGCGUAGACGGCAGUGCAAGUCUGGAGUGAAAGGCGGGGGCUCAACCCCCGGACUGCUCUGGAAACUGUACGGCUGGAGUGCAGGAGAGGGAAGUGGAAUUCCUAGUGUAGCGGUGAAAUGCGUAGAUAUUAGGAGGAACACCAGUGGCGAAGGCGGCUUACUGGACUGUAACUGACGUUGAGGCUCGAAAGCGUGGGGAGCAAACAGGAUUAGAUACCCUGGUAGUC
rnacentral:rRNA from 1 species